rnacentral:rRNA from 1 species
AACAGGAUUAGAUACCCUGGUAGUCCACGCCGUAAACGAUGUCGACUUGGAGGUUGUGCCCUUGAGGCGUGGCUUCCGGAGCUAACGCGUUAAGUCGACCGCCUGGGGAGUACGGCCGCAAGGUUAAAACUCAAAUGAAUUGACGGGGGCCCGCACAAGCGGUGGAGCAUGUGGUUUAAUUCGAUGCAACGCGAAGAACCUUACCUGGUCUUGACAUCCACGGAAUUUGGCAGAGAUGCCUUAGUGCCUUCGGGAACCGUGAGACAGGUGCUGCAUGGCUGUCGUCAGCUCGUGUUGUGAAAUGUUGGGUUAAGUCCCGCAACGAGCGCAACCCUUGUCCUUAGUUGCUACGCAAGAGCACUCUAAGGAGACUGCCGGUGACAAACCGGAGGAGGGUGGGGAUGACGUCAAGUCCUCAUGGCCCUUAUGGGUAGGGCUUCACACGUCAUACAAUGGUCGGAACAGAGGGUUGCCAACCCGCGAGGGGGAGCUAAUCCCAGAAAACCGAUCGUAGUCCGGAUUGCACUCUGCAACUCGAGUGCAUGAAGCUGGAAUCGCUAGUAAUCGCGGAUCAGCAUGCCGCGGUGAAUACGUUCCCGGGUCUUGUACACACCGCCCGUCACACCAUGGGAGUGGGUUUUACCAGAAGUGGCUAGUCUAACCGCAAGGAGGACGGUCACCACGGUAGGAUUCAUGACUGGGGUGAAGUCGUAACAAGGUAACC